UCCAGGAAGUUGCGAGAAAGCUGCAGAGG
rnacentral:piRNA from 1 species